UGAGGAGAAUACGUCAUUGUAAAUUAGGGUGACCAGACGUCCCCGGAAGUGUCCCCGUUUUUAACAGUGCAUUAAAAACAGACUGCAAAGUGAAAUAAUAUUUGACGUGGCAAGAAAGACCGGGCAGCAGACCCUACCGGUUGACGUCUCAAUUGCGUUGUGCUUGUUUUGUCCAGCAGAGCGGGCUGCUCGCUAUAGCAGUUUCAUUCACUCUUCUACUAACUACUUGCUCGCUCUAGUUUUAGAGAAAACUGCUGUGGAAAACUCGGUCAGAACCUAACAAGUGUCAAGUGAAUCCACAACAUCACCACAAACGUAUUUUCAAGCCAGAUUGGAGAGGAAGGAGAAGAAGAAAUGAAGGGAGUAAAACGAGUGAAGCGAGGAGAGUGUAGAAGAGUGAGGUGGAAAGGUGAAGAGAAGGAAAGGAAGAAAGAGAAGGAAGACGGGUGAAGAAAAGAGGAGGAGAAAGAUUGGAGCAGAAGAAAAAGUUAAGAGAGUAAGAAGAGCAACCUCCCCUGCCAGGAGUUCACGGUGAAGCUGGCCAAAGAGAGCAAACCUGAAGAAGAUACAUUCUUCUGAGAAAUAUACAGAUUAGGUGGCUCCCCUUCCUGUUCGGGUGGCGCGCGGAGGUCGGUUGUAGUCACGGGCCAACUAGCUGCCACUGAUCCUUCCCCCCGCCCCUUGUCUGUUUAUUAGUUACACCUGUGUUUAGUUAUGUAUUAGUUAGGUUAAUUGGUUGGGCUUUAUUAGCCAGCCGGCCCGCCUGCUGGGUGUGUGGGAUUGUUUUAUGUGUACUCUUGUGCACUCUUGUGCACGCCUGUAAGUCACAGUUUUGUGUGUACGUGUGUUGUUCGGGACUGUUUCGUUCCCCUGUGUUUUGGGGCAUUUGUUUGAGUGGCGUCGUUUUCACCUGUGGUGAAUAAAGAAGUAUCGCU